GCCUGGCUGGCUCAGUCUGUUAAGCGUCCGACUUCAGCUCAGGUCACGAUCUCACAGUUUGUGGGUUUGAGCCCCACGUCGGGCU
rnacentral:tRNA from 1 species